AGAACUCGUUGGCGAACUCCCAUCUGUCCGGGACAAUCUUCCUAAAACCCUAUUUUGAAAAAAGGAGCAAAACCCAUGUACUUUGCGUUGA